rnacentral:rRNA from 1 species
UGGGGAAUAUUGCACAAUGGGCGCAAGCCUGAUGCAGCCAUGCCGCGUGUAUGAAGAAGGCCUUCGGGUUGUAAAGUACUUUCAGCGGGGAGGAAGGGAGUAAAGUUAAUACCUUUGCUCAUUGACGUUACCCGCAGAAGAAGCACCGGCUAACUCCGUGCCAGCAGCCGCGGUAAUACGGAGGGGGCAAGCGUUAAUCGGAAUUACUGGGCGUAAAGCGCACGCAGGCGGUUUGUUAAGUCAGAUGUGAAAUCCCCGGGCUCAACCUGGGAACUGCAUCUGGUACUGGCAAGCUUGAGUCUCGUAGAGGGGGGUAGAAUUCCAGGUGUAGCGGUGAAAUGCGUAGAGAUCUGGAGGAAUACCGGUGGCGAAGGCGGCCCCCUGGACGAAGACUGACGCUCAGGUGCGAAAGCGUGGGGAGCAAACA